rnacentral:rRNA from 1 species
UGGGGAAUAUUGCACAAUGGGCGCAAGCCUGAUGCAGCCAUGCCGCGUGUAUGAAGAAGGCCUUCGGGUUGUAAAGUACUUUCAGCGGGGAGGAAGGGAGUAAAGUUAAUACCUUUGCUCAAUGACGGUACCCACAGAAGAAGCACCGGCUAACUUCGUGCCAGCAGCCGCGGUAAUACGAAGGGUGCUAGCGUUAUUCGGAAUCACUGGGCGUAAAGAGUGUAAAGGCUGUUAGAUAAGUUAGUUAUGAAAUCCCUGAGCUCAACUCAGGAACUAUGAUUAAAACUAUCUGGCUAGAGUAUAGUAGGCGAUGGCGGAAUUCUUAGUGUAGGGGUGAAAUCCGUAGAUAUUAAGAGGAACACCGGUGGUGAAGACGGCUAUCUUGACUAUAACUGACGCUCAGGUGCGAAAGCGUGGGGAGCAAACAGG